rnacentral:rRNA from 1 species
UACAGAGGUCUCAAGCGUUGUUCGGAUUCAUUGGGCGUAAAGGGUGCGCAGGCGGCGAGGCAAGUCGGACGUGAAAUCCCGGGGCUUAACCCCGGAACUGCGUUCGAUACUGCCUUGCUCGAGGACUGGAGAGGAGACUGGAAUUCCUGGUGUAGCAGUGAAAUGCGUAGAUAUCAGGAGGAACGCCAAUGGCGAAGGCAAGUCUCUGGACAGUUCCUGACGCUCAUGCACGAAGGCCAGGGGAGCAAACGGG